AGCUUUGCACAGUGGUAGUAUCGUAGCCAAUGAGGUUUAUCUGAGGCACGAUUAUUGCUAAUUGAAAACUUUGUAUCUUUGGAUAUGUUGCUGCUUCUUCAUAGAAUACCUUCCAUUCCUCCUCCAAGCUAAUUAGCACUGUACAUUCAAAACUCAGCUAGAGCAUCAAAUUCCCUCGGCAAACUUUCUGUGUUCUUCACUGGUAG
ensembl:snRNA U4 U4 spliceosomal RNA